CCAGACUCCUACGGGAGGCAGCAGUGGGGAAUAUUGCACAAUGGGGGGAACCCUGAUGCAGCGACGCCGCGUGGGUGAAGGAGUACUUCGGUACGUAAAGCCCUAUCAGCAGGAAAGAAAAUGACGGUACCUGACUAAGAAGCCCCGGCUAACUACGUGCCAGCAGCCGCGGUAAUACGUAGGGGGCAAGCGUUAUCCGGAUUUACUGGGUGUAAAGGGAGCGUAGACGGUUAUGUAAGUCUGGAGUGAAAGCCCGGGGCCCAACCCCGGGACUGCUUUGGAAACUGUGUAACUAGAGUACAGGAGGGGCAGGCGGAAUUCCUGGUGUAGCGGUGAAAUGCGUAGAUAUCAGGAGGAACACCGGCGGCGAAGGCGGCCUGCUGGACUGAAACUGACGUUGAGGCUCGAAAGCGUGGGGAGCAAACAGGAUUAGAUACCCUAGUAC
rnacentral:rRNA from 1 species